UUGUAGCCUGCUAUGGUAUAACUUAGUGGCAGACGGGUGAGUAAUGUAUAGGAAUCUACCUAGUAGUACGGAAUAAUUGUUGGAAACGGCAACUAAUACCGUAUACGCCCUACGGGGGAAAAAUUUAUUGCUAUUAGAUGAGCCUAUAUUAGAUUAGCUAGUUGGUGGAGUAAUAGCCUACCAAGGCAAUGAUCUAUAGCUGAUCUGAGAGGAUGAUCAGUCACACUGGAACUGAGAUACGGUCCAGACUUCUACGGGAGGCAGCAGUGGGGAAUAUUGGACAAUGGGCGAAAGCCUGAUCCAGCCAUGUCGCAUGAGUGAAGGAGGCCUUUGGGUUGUAAAGCUCUUUUAGUGAGGAAGAUAAUGACGGUACUCACAGAAGAAGUCCUGGCUAACUCCGUGCCAGCAGCCGCGGUAAUACGGAGAGGGCUAGCGUUAUUCGGAAUUAUUGGGCGUAAAGGGCGCGUAGGCUGAUUAAUAAGUUAAAAGUGAAAUCCCAAGGCUUAACCUUGGAAUUGCUUUUAAAACUAUUAAUCUAGAGAUUGAAAGAGGAUAGAGGAAUUCCUGAUGUAGAGGUAAAAUUCGUAAAUAUUAGGAGGAACACCAGUGGCGAAGGCGUCUAUCUGGUUCAAAUCUGACGCUGAGGCGCGAAGGUGUGGGGAGCAAACAGGAUUAGAUACCCUGGUAGUCCACGCUGUAAACGAUGAAUGUUAAAUAUGGGAAGUUUACUUUCUGUAUUACAGCUAACGCGUUAAACAUUCCGCCUGGGGACUACGGUCGCAAGAUUAAAACUCAAAGGAAUUGACGGGGACCCGCACAAGCGGUGGAGCAUGUGGUUUAAUUCGAUGCAACGCGAAAAACCUUACCACUUCUUGACAUGAAAAUCAUACCUAUU
rnacentral:rRNA from 1 species